GGAAGCAGGUGGAAACCCAUUGUGUGUGUUGUCCUUGUGGAGCUCUUUAAAACAGGAAAUAUACUGCUAGGCAAGGUAGUAGUUGAUGGUGGCAUGUUUGUGUUCUCAUUAUUGUGCUAUAGAAGCAUUCUAGGUGCCGUUUUCAUGUUGCCAUUUUCCCUACUCCUCGAAAGUGGGAAGUGGAAAGAAUUGGAUAAGCAUGCUCUUGGCUGGCUCUUCAUCAAUGCUUUUGUCGGAUACUCAUUGCCUAUGGCCUUGUACUACAAUGGGCUACAUGACACAACCGCCUCCUAUGGCGUGAUCUCCUCAAGUUUGACUCCGCUCUUCACUUUUGUCCUGUCAAUAUUGCUUGGCAUGGAGAACUUGCACCUCAAAUCCAAGGAGGGUAGUGCGAAGGUUGGUGCAUUGGUAUGCUUUGGUGGGGCUUUGUUGAUUAGCUUGUACAAUGGAAAGGAACUGCAUCUCUGGUCCCCGGUUAUGCAAGGUAUCACUAAGAGUUCCAAUGCAGUUGUCGGAGGACACCACCAUUUGAGGGGUACCUUGCUUUUGUUGGGUGAAUGCAUAUGUUAUGCAUUUUCAUACCCUGUACUGGUAAAAGUUUUAAAGGUUUACCCAUGGAAACAUUGGUCAUCAGUGUUGACAUGUGUUCUAGGUGGUUUCCAAACAUGUGCCAUAGGAAUAAUUUUGAGAAGGGACAAACUGGCUUGGCAAGUGGGAUGGAACAUUCAACUAUUAACAAUUGUCUACUCGGCUGCACUUGGCACAUCAGCCAAGUAUUGGUUAAACCUCUAUGCCGUGGAAAAGCGAGGCCCCGUUUUCCCACCAAUGUUCAACACAUUAUCGGUUGUCUUCACCAUGGUUCUUGGAGCAUUAUUACUAGGAGAAAGCCUCACGGUUGGGAGCUUGCUGGGUAGUGCAGUGGUUUUCAGUGGUCUGUAUAUGUAUCUCUAUGGAAAGGCCAAAGAACUACGCGUGACGAUGACAUCAGGUUCAAGCAAUGAAAAGCUUCAGGUGCAACCUACCCAUAACUCAAAGUGUGAGGAUCCAUCAUCUCGCCCUUAA
rnacentral:rRNA from 1 species